rnacentral:rRNA from 1 species
GCGCAACCCCUAUUGUUAGUUGCCAUCAUUCAGUUGGGCACUCUAGCGAGACUGCCGGUAAUAAACCGGAGGAAGGUGGGGAUGACGUCAAUCAUCAUGCCCCUUAUGACCUGGGCUACACACGUGCUACAAUGGUUGGUACAACGAGUUGCGAGUCGGUGACGGCGAGCUAAUCUCUUAAAGCCAAUCUCAGUUCGGAUUGUAGGCUGCAACUCGCCUACAUGAAGUCGGAAUCGCUAGUAAUCGCGGAUCAGCACGCCGCGGUGAAUACGUUCCCGGGCCUU